GCCAAAACCAAAAGAGAAAAUCAUCUGGUGAUAUAACUGAGGACUGACUUUAGCAAUUGGUUUUGACGAUCGGAUGAAACGAUAGGCUGACUCAGGCCCUGUUUCUGUUGACAUGCUAAUUAACCCAAGAAAAGGCAAAACUGUGUUUCACCCCCCAUCAUUAAACAUGAACAUCUGGCAUGCAUCAAAACUGUGGGCCUCUGAGUCUGAAGACUCAGAGAGCGUCAACGUGAACACCCGCAUCACCCAACUCUACGCCCAACCGCUGAAUGAGAUCGUUCAGAAGAAGGAUCAGGCUUUGGAGCAACGGAGGCUUGAGAGUUUGGUGCUUAAUGCAACAGCCCAGGGUGCUUCAGGUGUCCAGCAGUUACAGAGAGCUGGAAAAGAAGUAUGAUGUGCUCACUUCUCUAGUGAGCAACCAGAGCCAACUAAUCACACAUCUGGAGAAACAGUGCCAACUCAACCCU
rnacentral:lncRNA from 1 species